rnacentral:rRNA from 1 species
CCUACGGGAGGCUGCAGUGAGGAAUAUUGGUCAAUGGACGAGAGUCUGAACCAGCCAAGUAGCGUGAAGGAUGACUGCCCUAUGGGUUGUAACCUUCUUUUAUAUGGGAAUAAAAUGUUCCACGUGUGGGAUUUUGUAUGUACCAUAUGAAUAAGGAUCGGCUAACUUCGUUCCAGCAGCCGCGGUAAUACGGAGGAUCCGAGCGUUAUCCGGAUUUAUUGGGUUUAAAGGGAGCGUAGGUGGAUUGUUAAGUCAAUUGUGAAAGUUUGCGGCUCAACCGGAAAAUUGCAGUUGAAACUGGCAGUCUGGAGUACAGUAGAGGUGGGCGGAAUUCGUGGUGUAGCGGUGAAAUGCGUAGAUAUCACGAAGAACUCCGAUGGCGAAGGCAGCUAACUGGACUGCAACUGACACUGAGGCGCGAAAGUGUGGGUAUCAAACAGGAUUAGAUACCCGGGUAGUC